CAAAAUGUAACCGAAAUGAGUGUGCUUUAUUAAAUUACUACGUUCGCAAGGACGCCGCGAACGGGGUGGUGUUAAGCCCUCCCCCAAACACACACUUUUCAGCGAACGACUCAGUCGGUGAACUAGUCAAUUGAUACCCUCGGUAAACUGUCAUCUAUGGUCAAAAAAUAUUUGAAUAGGAUUUGGUAGACCGGCUAAUGAUCUUUGAUUAAUCUUUGACCGACGUCAUAUGCAGUCUGUCAAUCAAUUACAACGAGUACAAAGAACCAGGAAUAUUAUAUGACGUUGUUUCAUAUAUCGCGUGGAAUUAAUUUUAAAUUAGUUUGGAAAUUUCCAAAAUUGCCGCUUAAAGAGGGUUAAGCCAUGACUGCCAUUGUCAUAAAGGUACAUGCAACAUUUUCCACAACUGAAAGGGGGAAGGGCAAAAGUGGCCCGAGUAGGAGUAGGACAAUACCAGUGACCCAAAAAUAUUUUAU